GAUGAAGAACGCAGCGAAAUGCGAUAAGUAAUGUGAAUUGCAGAAUUCAGUGAAUCAUCGAAUCUUUGAACGCACAUUGCGCCCCCUGGUAUUCCGGGGGGCAUGCCUGUUCGAGCGUCAUUUCACCAUUCAAGCCUCGCUUGGUAUUGGGCAACGCGGUCCGCCGCGUGCCUCGAAUCGACCGGCUGGGUCUUCUGUCCCCUAAGCGUUGUGGAAACUAUUCGCUAAAGGGUGUUCGGGAGGCUACGCCGUAAAACAACCCCAUUUCUAAGGUUGACCUCGGAUCAGGUAGGGAUACCCGCUGAACUUAAGCAUAUCAAUAAGCGGAGGA
rnacentral:misc_RNA from 1 species